GUGCCAGCAGCCGCGGUAAGACAGAGGGUGCAAACGUUGUUCGGAAUUACUGGGCGUAAAGCGUGUGUAGGCGGCUAUGUAAGUCGGAUGUGAAAGCCCCGGGCUCAACUCGGGAAGUGCACUCGAUACUGCGUAGCUAGAGUACCGGAGAGGUUGGUGGAAUUCUCGGUGUAGAGGUGAAAUUCGUAGAUAUCGAGAGGAACACCGGUGGCGAAGGCGGCCAACUGGACGAGUACUGACGCUGAGACACGAAAGCGUGGGGAGCAAACAGGAUUAGAUACCCCGGUAGUCC
rnacentral:rRNA from 1 species